rnacentral:rRNA from 1 species
UGGUGCCUUCGGGAACUGUGAGACAGGUGCUGCAUGGCUGUCGUCAGCUCGUGUUGUGAAAUGUUGGGUUAAGUCCCGCAACGAGCGCAACCCUUAUCCUUUGUUGCCAGCGGUCUGGCCGGGAACUCAAAGGAGACUGCCAGUGAUAAACUGGAGGAAGGUGGGGAUGACGUCAAGUCAUCAUGGCCCUUACGACCAGGGCUACACACGUGCUACAAUGGCGCAUACAAAGAGAAGCGACCUCGCGAGAGCAAGCGGACCUCAUAAAGUGCGUCGUAGUCCGGAUUGGAGUCUGCAACUCGACUCCAUGAAGUCGGAAUCGCUAGUAAUCGUGGAUCAGAAUGCCACGGUGAAUACGUUCCCGGGCCUUGUACACACCGCCCGUCACACCAUGGGAGUGGGUUGCAAAAGAAGUAGGUAGCUUAACCUUCGGGAGGGCGCUUACCACUUUGUGAUUCAUGACUGGGGUGAAGUCGUAACAAGGUAACCGUAGGGGAACCUGCGGUUGGAUCAC